AUGUAUAUAUACACACACACACAAUUUCUCCUAAUUGGUGCCUUCGGAGCCAGUGGCAUUAGCCUAAUUGGUGCCUUCGGAGCACGAUAA
rnacentral:rRNA from 1 species